UGUCGGCUUUGAUGUUGUUUAGUAUAUAAACAUUACUGGUGUGUAGAAAGAAUAGUAGCAAUAUUUAACCAAUAUUUUUGUCUGAAUCUCUGCUGUGGAUACAGAAUAAGAUGAACACUAUGUGCUUUUCAGUUGGUUUUGUCUUGUUGGUAACAUUACACUCUGUGUUGGGAGGAUAUGGUUCUGCUUCACAUGGUCUGUCAGGAGGAGGUGGUUACUAUAGCAGCAUGUAUCCAAGCAUGUCGAGUUACAGCAUGUAUCCAAGUAUGAUGAGUUACAGCAUGUAUCCAAGUAUGAGUUACAGUUCGUAUCCAAGUAUGAUGAGUUAUAGUUCGUAUCCAAGUAUGAUGGGCGGAUAUGGGAUGAGCGGAUAUGGAAUGGGCGGAUAUGGGAUGAGCGGAUAUGGAAUGGGCGGUGGAUAUGGUAUGGGCGGUGGAUAUGGUAUGGGCGGUGGAUACGGAUACGGCAGUGGCAGUUGGUAUGGUAAAUGAGGAUCUACAGUUAACUCACGUCACGCGAGUCCAAAAUUUCAACUAGUAUAAAUCAUGUACGCUUGGCACAUUGCCCAUACCAUUAUUUGAACCAUUAUUUGAAAUAAUGGUACGCCAACAUCAAAGGAUGACGUCCCAUUAUAUAUACCAUUAUCAUAUUUUCCAGAAUCUACAGUUAACUCACGAAACCAAGAUGUUAUUAACAUAUAUAAUUACACCUUUUUUCUUUGAUAUUUUAUAAUAUCACAAAUACCAAAUAUAUUGUUGAUUUGAUAUUUAAAUGAUUAAAUGCUAAUUGUGUUUUUAGAUAA